CAUUAGAUGUCUGAUUUAAGUAAUGAUCUUUUAAAUCAUUUAAAGUAAAUUAAUUUACUUCUAAUGA
rnacentral:tRNA from 1 species